AAUGAUACAUGUGUGUCCAUACGACAUAGUGAUUAGCAGCAUGAGGUGCUGAGCACAUCGCGUGUGUGUCUGUAUGUGUGCGCUGAUAUGUGGUUCAUGAAGAACAAACUGAUUAAGCAUGCUCCAAAGCUACGAGCGACUGAACUAGGUUGAAACCAAGAGGGCAUUGUAAACUUUGAUGACACUUUGUGGGAAACCAAUUACUUCAUGGCCAGAGGUGAUUUUGGAAUGGAGAUUUCAGUUGAGAAGAUAUCCCUUGCACAGAAAAUGAUGAUCUACAAGUGCAACCUUGCUGGUGAGCCUGUUGUCACAGCGAUUGUAGGCAACAUCCAUUCCAAUUGUCCAUUGGUUUAACUGCAGUUUUUUAUGUACAAUUUAUAGGCCGGACUGAUUUUUUUUACUUGCCCUGAUGAAGCUGUAGACUAUACACAUAAGUUGCUGAUUUUGCAUGCUAUACUUGUGUAAAUGUUGUUCCACCUUCCCACUUUGUAAUUUCAUGGCCAUUUCAGAUGAUCUAGACAUUUAAUGUAUGGAAUUUACAUUGGCACUAAAUAAGGAAUAUUGAAAGAUAGUAUGCCACAAUA